UUUUUAAAACGCGUCUGCUAGGGAUGGUAGGGAUGCUAGGGAGAGGUUUCUACACCCUUAUAAAGAAUGUUUCGUUCUCCCCCCUAACCGAUGCGAGAUCUCACAUCCACCCCCUUUCCCCUUUGAGGCCCAGUGUCCUCGCAGGCACUCAUUCCUCUCAUUAAUCGACGUGGAAUCUCACACUAACAUUCUAACAAGUUUUACUCGUAGUUUUGAAAUAUUUAUGAAAACGAAGGGUAAAGUUGCCGAUUAUUUUUUAUAAUUUGGACCAACCUGAAAUGACUUAACCCUAUGAACUUCACUUCAAAUAGAGAAGUCUAGCUACAUAAUUAGCUGAAACCCCCACCCCACCCCACCCCACCCCUAAACCAUAUAACCUGAUUGAUAUCUCAAAGUCUGAUUGCUAAGCUACAAAACCAAUAUCAAAGGUUUAUGAAGCAGUAGAAAGUACCUGUGUAAUGAAACCAACGACGUGAGAAUUGCAGAGCCGAACUACAGGAACAGCCUGCAACCGAUGCUUUGAAAGCAAUAGCAGAACAUGGAAAAGUGUAUCCCUCAUCCCUAC